GACGAACGCUGGCGGCGUGCCUAAUACAUGCAAGUCGAGCGCAGGAAACUGACGGAACUCUUCGGAGGGAAGGCAGUGGAAUGAGCGGCGGACGGGUGAGUAACACGUAAGGAACCUGCCUCAAGGAUUGGGAUAACUCCGAGAAAUCGGAGCUAAUACCGGAUAGUUCAUCGGACCGCAUGGUCCGUUGAAGAAAGCGCUCCGGCGUCACCUUGAAAUGGCCUUGCGGUGCAUUAGCUAGUUGGUGGGGUAACGGCCCACCAAGGCGACGAUGCAUAGCCGACCUGAGAGGGUGAUCGGCCACACUGGGACUGAGACACGGCCCAGACUCCUACGGGAGGCAGCAGUAGGGAAUCUUCCACAAUGGACGAAAGUCUGAUGGAGCAACGCCGCGUGAGUGAUGAAGGUUUUCGGAUCGUAAAACUCUGUUGUAAGGGAAGAACACGUACGAGAGGGAAUGCUCGUACCUUGACGGUACCUUACGAGAAAGCCACGGCUAACUACGUGCCAGCAGCCGCAGUAA
rnacentral:rRNA from 1 species